AUUGAACGCUGGCGGCAUGCCUUACACAUGCAAGUCGAACGGCAGCACGGGAGCAAUCCUGGUGGCGAGUGGCGAACGGGUGAGUAAUAUAUCGGAACGUGCCCAGUAGUGGGGGAUAGCCCGGCGAAAGCCGGAUUAAUACCGCAUACGACCUGUGGGUGAAAGCGGGGGAUCGCAAGACCUCGCGCUAUUGGAGCGGCCGAUAUCAGAUUAGCUUGUUGGUGGGGUAAAAGCCCACCAAGGCGACGAUCUGUAGCUGGUCUGAGAGGACGACCAGCCACACUGGGACUGAGACACGGCCCAGACUCCUACGGGAGGCAGCAGUGGGGAAUUUUGGACAAUGGGCGCAAGCCUGAUCCAGCCAUGCCGCGUGU
rnacentral:rRNA from 1 species